CGAAUAGGAACGGCAAAUUCGAGGAGGGGAAAAAAAAAAAGGGGGGGGAAGAAAAAAAAAAAAAAAAGAGGAAAAGUUGCCCGGCAGCAACAGCGGGCGCUGCCCGCAGCAUCACUUACCAGAGGGCCCGGGCGGGCUGCGAGGCGCUGCCGCUCCCUCCUUCCCCGCCGCCUCCUCCUGAAGCCGGCUGCGGGAGGGAGCGAGCGCGCAGAGCCUCCCGCUGGAGCCGCCAGGCGUGACGGGCCGGGAGGGGCGGGCCGGAGCCACGGCGUGGGCUUCGCCUUGCGGUGCAGCCGCUGCGGCAGUGCCGGGGAGAGGGGGAGCGGCGCGGGGGCGGCCGGCGCCACCCGGGAUGGAGGACGUGGGAGAGCGGGAAGGGCGAUCCCCGCUGCAGGGCCGGGUGCGAAGGGAGGCACGGAACCCCCCCGCAGGAGCGAGUUGGAGGGCGGCGGCAACGAGCCCCCUUUUGCGGUAGAAGGGGAAAACAGAGGAGAAAAUUCCUUCCACCACCACAAACCCACUGCAGGCUUGCAGGAACCAGGUCUCAUCUCCACUACCAUGAAAGACAUCGCGAGGUAGGAGGUGAAAGACAUCCCAAGGAUAUAAAUAUGGCUUUACUUCUCCACUGAACUGUGACUGAAAAUAGCAACUGGCAAAGAUUCAUAGUAUUUCCCCUGAAAUCAAAGUUGAAUUUUCACAGAAUCAGGGUCUUACACGAUGCUCCCACAGUCUUACAUUAUGCUACUAAAUGAGAUAGGCUAGGGGAAAUGAACAGCAUAUAUAUGGGAAAUGCAUAGAAAUGUUGCAGUUAAGCCUCAGCAAGGGGUCAGGGACUGCUGUAGCAAUCAGGUUACCUCAGCCUCUGAAGUUCUUCAGUAUGCUGCUGUAUGCAGUGCACUAACAGUUGAGACUGCAUGUGUGCAUAGCAACCUACACAGCGGGACCCAGUCCUGAGUGAGACACAGCUUCAUUUCAGAUAAAUAAUGGCUGGAAAAUGCUGCUUAAAUAUACAAAAGGAAUGCACUGUUGUCUUAGGUGACAAAGACAGAAGAAAAAUCUACAAUUUGAUUAAGAGAAGAGGAAUUUUUUUCUUCAUUCUAAUUGGAAGCAGUAGACAAGUUAAAAGAAUACUGCAUCAAAAGAGAAGAAUCUGAUACUUUGCUGACAAAUGAAAAAUGACUUUUAAAAUCACCGUAUGUGGUACAGGCUUUCACACAUACAAAUCAUAUUUUCUUUUGGCUUCAUAAAAACAAAAACCUAUGACAGGUCAAGGCUGGCUUUGAUCAAAAGAUCCUCUACCUCUCCUAGAAUUAAAGGUGAAAAGUCACUAAAUAAAUUUUCACAUGAUGUGAGCA
rnacentral:lncRNA from 1 species